rnacentral:rRNA from 1 species
AUUGAACGCUGGCGGCAGGCCUAACACAUGCAAGUCGAGCGGAUGAAGGGAGCUUGCUCCUGGAUUCAGCGGCGGACGGGUGAGUAAUGCCUAGGAAUCUGCCUGGUAGUGGGGUAUAACGUCCGGAAACGGGCGCUAAUACCGCAUACGUCCUGAGGCAGAAAGUGGGGGAUCUUCGGACCUCACGCUAUCAGAUGAGCCUAGGUCGGAUUAGCUAGUUGGUGGGGUAAAGGCCUACCAAGGCGACGAUCCGUAACUGGUCUGAGAGGAUGAUCAGUCACACUGGAACUGAGACACGGUCCAGACUCCUACGGGAGGCAGCAGUGGGGAAUAUUGGACAGUGGGCGAAAGCCUGAUCCAGCCAUGCCGCGUGUGUGAAGAAGGUCUUCGGAUUGUAAAGCACUUUAAGUUGGGGGGAAGGGCAGUAAGUUAAUACCUUGCUGUUUUGACGUUACCAACAGAAUAAGCACCGGCUAACUUCGUG